rnacentral:rRNA from 1 species
GGUUAAGCGACUAAGCGUACACGGUGGAUGCCCUGGCAGUCAGAGGCGAUGAAGGACGUGCUAAUCUGCGAUAAGCGUCGGUAAGGUGAUAUGAACCGUUAUAACCGGCGAUUUCCGAAUGGGGAAACCCAGUGUGUUUCGACACACUAUCAUUAACUGAAUCCAUAGGUUAAUGAGGCGAACCGGGGGAACUGAAACAUCUAAGUACCCCGAGGAAAAGAAAUCAACCGAGAUUCCCCCAGUAGCGGCGAGCGAACGGGGAGCAGCCCAGAGCCUGAAUCAGUGUGUGUGUUAGUGGAAGCGUCUGGAAAGGCGCGCGAUACAGGGUGACAGCCCCGUACACAAAAAUGCACAUGCUGUGAGCUCGAUGAGUAGGGCGGGACACGUGGUAUCCUGUCUGAAUAUGGGGGGACCAUCCUCCAAGGCUAAAUACUCCUGACUGACCGAUAGUGAACCAGUACCGUGAGGGAAAGGCGAAAAGAACCCCGGCGAGGGGAGUGAAAAAGAACCUGAAACCGUGUACGUACAAGCAGUGGGAGCACGCUUAGGCGUGUGACUGCGUACCUUUUGUAUAAUGGGUCAGCGACUUAUAUUCUGUAGCAAGGUUAACCGAAUAGGGGAGCCGAAGGGAAACCGAGUCUUAACUGGGCGUUAAGUUGCAGGGUAUAGACCCGAAACCCGGUGAUCUAGCCAUGGGCAGGUUGAAGGUUGGGUAACACUAACUGGAGGACCGAACCGACUAAUGUUGAAAAAUUAGCGGAUGACUUGUGGCUGGGGGUGAAAGGCCAAUCAAACCGGGAGAUAGCUGGUUCUCCCCGAAAGCUAUUUAGGUAGCGCCUCGUGAAUUCAUCUCCGGGGGUAGAGCACUGUUUCGGCAAGGGGGUCAUCCCGACUUACCAACCCGAUGCAAACUGCGAAUACCGGAGAAUGUUAUCACGGGAGACACACGGCGGGUGCUAACGUCCGUCGUGAAGAGGGAAACAACCCAGACCGCCAGCUAAGGUCCCAAAGUCAUGGUUAAGUGGGAAACGAUGUGGGAAGGCCCAGACAGCCAGGAUGUUGGCUUAGAAGCAGCCAUCAUUUAAAGAAAGCGUAAUAGCUCACUGGUCGAGUCGGCCUGCGCGGAAGAUGUAACGGGGCUAAACCAUGCACCGAAGCUGCGGCAGCGACGCUUAUGCGUUGUUGGGUAGGGGAGCGUUCUGUAAGCCUGUGAAGGUGUGCUGUGAGGCAUGCUGGAGGUAUCAGAAGUGCGAAUGCUGACAUAAGUAACGAUAAAGCGGGUGAAAAGCCCGCUCGCCGGAAGACCAAGGGUUCCUGUCCAACGUUAAUCGGGGCAGGGUGAGUCGACCCCUAAGGCGAGGCCGAAAGGCGUAGUCGAUGGGAAACAGGUUAAUAUUCCUGUACUUGGUGUUACUGCGAAGGGGGGACGGAGAAGGCUAUGUUGGCCGGGCGACGGUUGUCCCGGUUUAAGCGUGUAGGCUGGUUUUCCAGGCAAAUCCGGAAAAUCAAGGCUGAGGCGUGAUGACGAGGCACUACGGUGCUGAAGCAACAAAUGCCCUGCUUCCAGGAAAAGCCUCUAAGCAUCAGGUAACAUCAAAUCGUACCCCAAACCGACACAGGUGGUCAGGUAGAGAAUACCAAGGCGCUUGAGAGAACUCGGGUGAAGGAACUAGGCAAAAUGGUGCCGUAACUUCGGGAGAAGGCACGCUGAUAUGUAGGUGAAGCGACUUGCUCGUGGAGCUGAAAUCAGUCGAAGAUACCAGCUGGCUGCAACUGUUUAUUAAAAACACAGCACUGUGCAAACACGAAAGUGGACGUAUACGGUGUGACGCCUGCCCGGUGCCGGAAGGUUAAUUGAUGGGGU